CACUGAUGCAAUUGGCUAGCUGGGUGGUAGUUGGGGGUGGAACUGCUGUUUGCUCUCCUGCUUGUUUAGAGACAGAGUUUCAAGUAGCCGCACCUGCUUCGAACUUUAUAUGUAGUCAAGGAUAACCUUGAACUCCUGGUUCUUUUCCCUCUACUUCCUGAGUGCUCUACCGGAAUUACAGUGUUGCAUCGCUAUCCCUGGAGCUAUGCUUAAUGACGAGGAAGGAGGCCCCGACCUGAGAAGCUUGCAGCUACACAAAGUGCAGCCUGGGCCUUGAGUCACAGCCCCUGAUGGGCCGAGAAGUCAUACCCUGUCAGAGACAAAGCCAAAGUGCGUCUAUCCCAGCAGCCAAGGCUAAGAGAUGGAGACUCCAGUCCCUGGGACUCCUUCUGCAUCUGAAUUAAUCUCUUAAAAAACAAUCGUGGGCUCCAGAUGAAGAACAGUUUCCCAACAGCUGGAGGACGCUUGCAGGAGGCAAGUUUUAAAGAACAGAGCCAGGAAGGAAGACAGAGACACCGAAGGAACCACCAGCCAGUGUUGUUUGGAGAAGUCUGAUGUCUUCAGCUGGCUUGUUAUUAAUUAUCGCACCUACAGCUUCGCGCCCUGAGAAGCCCGCAGUUAAACCGGCGAGUUAAGUCGCGAGAGUGUUCUGGGUUGUCUGCACAGUUAAUCAAAAAUUAUGCUAUCUUUAACUUUAUUCAAAGGGAGAGAUGUCUUUUUUCUUUCUUCCAGUAUUGGCGUCUUCUUACUGAGUUUUAAGGAUGAAAGAUUGGAGCUAGAAUAUCAAGCAGAUGCCCAGCGGAUGCAGCUGGAUUUCGAGCAUAAUAACCAGCAUCCCAAAGGAGGACCUUGUUCUAUUGUGCCGGAUGAAACAGGUCAGGGAGCAGUCGGGGGUUCAUAGAGACGGGGAACGCAAGCGCCUGCCCUUCUGCUGCAUGGCCUGGCCUGAGUCUGAUCUGAGAGAGGGAAGCCUGUUGCCCUGGGUCAUGGCUGAGGCCUCAAGAGUUCUGAAGCCCAUCCACACUGGUAAUGAGUCCGGACUGGGGAUCACAGAAAUUAGAGAUUGAGAAAGCUCUCAGACAAGCUUGGGGGCUGCCUGCCAGUCUCGGAGAUGGCCUCGCUCUGCAGAAUCACAGACGGACGGGAGAGGGUUCUAGUUUGUCCGGGCUUCUUUGACGGUGCAAGCUUGGGAGCCCAUAAAACUUUUGUUUUGCAACUCCUCCUCACAAACUGGAUGUCUUUACCUUUAGUGACAGGUAUUUUCUUUGUAUUUGGGGCUAAAGGUCAGCGGGAAUAAAACCUUAGCAUCCUAGGAAAUCUAUGACAAACAUAAUAAAAUAAUGAGAAGGUAGUCUCCAGUCCCCAUCAACCAAAACCCAGCUUCCAAACCUGUUUUUUUUUUUAGAUGAAAGCCUAUUAAUUAAAUAAAAAAUUUUAACUUGAAA
rnacentral:sRNA from 1 species